rnacentral:rRNA from 1 species
GACGAACGCUGGCGGCGUGCCUAAUACAUGCAAGUCGAACGAGAGCGACCGGUGCUUGCACUGGUCAAUCUAGUGGCGCACGGGUGAGUAACACGUGGGUAACCUGCUCAUCAGAGGGGGAUAACAUCCGGAAACGGAUGCUAACACCGCAUAGGUCUUCGAGCCGCAUGGCUUGAAGAGGAAAAGAGGCGCAAGCUUCUGCUGAUGGAUGGACCCGCGGUGCAUUAGCUAGUUGGUGAGGUAACGGCUCACCAAGGCCGUGAUGCAUAGCCGACCUGAGAGGGUGAUCGGCCACAUUGGGACUGAGACACGGCCCAAACUCCUACGGGAGGCAGCAGUAGGGAAUCUUCCGCAAUGGACGCAAGUCUGACGGAGCAACGCCGCGUGAGUGAAGAAGGUUUUCGGAUCGUAAAACUCUGUUGUUAGAGAAGAACAAGUGCUAGAGUAACUGUUAGCGCCUUGACGGUAUCUAAACAGAAAGCCACGGCUAACUACGUG